GAUGAACGCUGGCGGCGUGCCUAAUACAUGCAAGUCGAGCGAACAGACGAGGAGCUUGCUCCUCUGACGUUAGCGGCGGACGGGUGAGUAACACGUGGAUAACCUACCUAUAAGAUUGGGAUAACUUCGGGAAACCGGAGCUAAUACCGGAUAAUAUAUUGAACCGCAUGGUUCAAUAGUGAAAGACGGUUUUGCUGUCACUUAUAGAUGGAUCCGCGCCGCAUUAGCUAGUUGGUAAGGUAACGGCUUACCAAGGCGACGAUGCGUAGCCGACCUGAGAGGGUGAUCGGCCACACUGGAACUGAGACACGGUCCAGACUCCUACGGGAGGCAGCAGUAGGGAAUCUUCCGCAAUGGGCGAAAGCCUGACGGAGCAACGCCGCGUGAGUGAUGAAGGGCUUCGGAUCGUAAAACUCUGUUAUUAGGGAAGAACAAAUGUGUAAGUAACUAUGCACGUCUUGACGGUACCUAAUCAGAAAGCCACGGCUAACUACGUGC
rnacentral:rRNA from 1 species